rnacentral:rRNA from 1 species
AUUGAACGCUGGCGGCAGGCCUAACACAUGCAAGUCGAAUGGUAACAGGAAACAGCUUGCUGUUUCGCUGACGAGUGGCGGACGGGUGAGUAAUGUCUGGGAAACUUCCUGAUGGAGGGGGAUAACUACUGGAAACGGUAGCUAAUACCGCAUAACGUCGCAAGCCCAAAGAGGGGGACCUUCUGGCGUCUUGCCAUCAGAUGUGCCCAGAUGGGAUUUGCUGGUAGGUGGGGUAACGGUUCACCUAGCCGACGAUCCUUAGCUGGUCUCAGAGGAUGACCACGCACACUGGAACUGAAACACGGUCCAGACUCCUACGGGAGGCACCAGUGGGGAAUAUUGCACAGUGGGCGGAAGCCUUAUGCAGCCGUGCCGCGUGUAUGACGAAGGCCUUCCGGUUGUAAAGUAGUUUAUGGGGGGAGGAAGGGAGUAAAGUUAUUACCUUGGCUCAUUGACGUUACCCGGAGAAGAAGCACCGGCUAACUCCGUG